rnacentral:lncRNA from 12 species
GACCCCCCCCCCCUCCGCAAGGGCAGGGCGGACCUUCUGAGGGGAGUGAGACCGAGUCACCUUAGUAUCCGGGCCACGGGGGCUUGGGCUUAGGGCCGUGGAGCCCCAAACCCGUUCUCUGCCCACAAGUGUCCGGGCGCGAGAGCCUGCCUGGGACGUGAAUGCCUCUGAGCUCGCGUUGGCUUGGAGGCUCCCUCUCCUGCUCAACACCCGGGAACACGCCGGCACGUUGUCCCCGCUCCCGCGGCCUCCCGAACCUUCCCAAUCUCGUAGAAAGAUGGUUUAGGACAAUGGGACGGCGUCGUCCCGCCCUCCCCGGUGGGAGCCGCGCUGGGAGCCCGGAUUGCCAAACCCCUUGGUGCACACGGGCGCCCACUUGUUCUAACAGAUUCUUCCGGGAUCCCGACCCCGUGCUGUGAAUGUGCCUGAAGCAUACUCUGUUCUUAACACACUGGGUCAGUGCUUUUAAUUAUUUCUAACUUGCUUAGUAGCCACAAUAUUUAACUUUACUUAGUUUUCUUUUGACAGUUUUAUUGGACAGUUUGUUAAAGACUUUAACAAUUAAUAGAUACCAGUGGUUACUUUCAUAAACAUUAUGAUUCUUGCACCUGGGAUAAUAUUUGGUUAUAUAAUCUAUCGCAACAUGCCCAAUUGUGGUGUAUAAGUUACAGAUACUGGAAAAUUUUCGUAAAGGCAAAUUUAUGGUCUUAUGUGAAAAGGCUCAGGAGGAACUAAAAUCAUUUCAGUCAGUUGCCGGGCAAUUUUAGUGUAUACAGACCCUUGAAACAUGAAUUAAACUGGGUUCUGACAAUUUGAAAGUUGGGUUUCUUGGCUGCCCUGAUCGAAAGCCCCAGUAAGGGACCACAGUACAUCCAGCCACCAGGAGUGGAGAUACAGUUGCUUCUUCCUUCACAACCCUACCCCAACCCCCCCAGGGUGGGAUGACUGUUAACUAGGUGCUCCCAAAGAUGUCCCCAAAUUGUGGGAUGAAUAAAUUCCACUCUCUGGAGAGGCA